rnacentral:lncRNA from 1 species
UCAACAAACAACAUCAAGAUGAACACAUAUUGGACAACAAUGAUGAUAGGUUCACAAACAUACAUAAAUAUAUAUUCACACAGGUUCACAAGCAUAGUUUGACCAUCCAGAACACACAAGUCACAUAAAAAGGGCCACUAUUUGCUAGUCUGAACUAAUUCAAACAAUGGUCCAGAACACACAAAUCACAUAUAUGAGCACAAAGUUUCUACUCCAAAACACUUGAAGCACCAAAUGGUCCGGAACACACAAAUCACAUACAUGAGCACAAAGUUUCUACUCCAAAACACUUGAAGCACCAAAUGGUCCAGAACACACAUAAGAUUCAAGAAAUGAUUGAAGUUGGUUGGUCCAAAAUACUGCAAACAGCCAUAUGUGUUCCAUGACACUCCAAGUCCUCCUCACAUCCAAUGCUAGGUGUGGCUAAGUACCUGAAAAUAUUCCAUAUGAAUUUGUCACGAAAGUGCAAUCAUUCCAAAAGUUGUUCAAAGCUCAUAUGAAGAUUGUUAGGCUAGAGCGGCACAUGCUAGCUUAUACUUGAUUGUUCAUGUGAGAGUAACAUUGUUAUAUGACCAUGAAUACACACAAAUAUUUGUUCCUAUGCGGUGAAGUGUAGUGUUGCGGGCUUCCUUCUCCACAGGAAUCAAUCACCACAGGAAACAAUUUUCUGCUAUUUUUAUCAACAUCAUUUGAUCAACACACUUGAGUUCCUUUUGGUUUCAUGUCCCAGAAUUAUUAGCAAGAGCAUUCCCAGAAAAUCUACUUGUGCAUAUAUGCUACAGAAAUGCUUAUGACGAGUAAAACACAUUCUCAAAAAUAAUCUUGGCAUGGCAACAAACAAACUAAACUAAUACAAGGGGAAAGGAUGCAGACAGAAUUAGGAUGUGGCUAUUUUCAAGUUUGUAACAUAUUUGACCAAGAUCAAGACAUGGAUUAUCAAUAUGUUUCCGCAGAAUCAUUUCUUAAUUGAGCCUCACGACACCAUCAGAAUUACAAUAUUCUAUUCUGAAGCUCAAAAGUUCAGACUGGUGGCAAGUUAAUAAGCUAACAUGGCAGCUCUGUGAGUCUGCAACAGGUUAUAAAGGAUAAGAUGAGGCCUACAAACUUGGCAAUAAAUACCAUAAGAUAGGAUUCCUGAUCAGCAAUAUUAUCUGUUAACAACUCAUAGUAGUAGUUGUAGCUUGUUAUAUUUAAGAACAGGCAGUAGUAGUUUAUAAAGAAAUGGGCUUGUCAGAUAUUAAGAGUUGUAGGUUGUAAUAAUAUUUAAGAACUGGCAGUAGUAGAUUGUACUAAACUUUUAUAUGCUAUAGAGGAAACAUGGUUGUGCCUUAUGUAGUUAUGUUGCACUUCUUUGUACAUUGUCUUGACACAUUCAGUUUACUUGUAAUGUAUAAAUUAGAUGAAGAGAUACUACAAUAUCACGAGCCAUUGAGGAUGAAGCUGAGGUUACCAUCUAUGAUCUAUUUAAAGAGGAAAUAAAAAUCUAAAGCUUCCACAAGUAGAGGCAACUGCUGUUAGUACCCGCACCUCCUGGCACAUUAGUUGUCUUCUUGGCAUCUUUGAUCUGCAACAAGACAACAACAAUCAUUACUCUUUGGUCUAAUUCCCAAAACAACUGAAAAAUAGGCAUUCAAAAAUAGGCCUACAUGUAAUUAUUACUAGUACGAAUGCCGUGCUACAAUCUUCAACUUCAGUAUCAAAUAUGUUGUCAUCAGAGACGCCCGAGUAGUUCCGCUGCACUGAGAGCGCUCUGCUGAUGUUGCACAGCACGGCCUGCUCGUGCUGCUGCUCUUGCAUGCUCAGGCUGUCGGGCAUCCGGAAAGAAGAAAAAUUGUAGAGCUGCGACAGCCGCAGCUUCAGGUGCUGAUGUGCUCUUGAGGAAUCCUUCCAUGUUGGUAAAUCCAGUCUCCGGUUUCUUAGCAUAGAUAAGAUAAAUAGCAAUUUCUUAGUCUGUGUUGCUACUCAUUAAUUCUUUUAGACCACCGAUGUGGUUAAUAAAAAGAUCAAAAAGUUCAGCAUAACUCAGACCAAUGUGGAUAGUUCACACGGGUUAAUUUGUUGUUUCAUGUGCACAUAUUAAUCAAAUAAAUUCUUCCAAUCUAGUUAAUUGUGCUGCUAGAUUUUGGUGGUCAUUCUGAAUGUAUAAAUUUGUUGUGCGGAUCUCUAAACUAAUAUGGAUCUGUUUACGAACUAUAACUUAGCACUAUAUCAAGUUCUUGCUAUCAGUUUGAUUUUCAUGGUCCAAUUGGAUAUAUACACGAGUCAUACAGCCACAGUCUGCACUAUUUGGUUAAUGAGAACGGGAGGAGCACAACACUGACCCCAUCGCUUAUAUCAGCCAGCUUCAGGUCCACCAUGGCCACCUACACCGAGCGCCAUAUCACGUCCUUGAGCUUCGUUGUCGACUCAUCUACACCAACCCAAUCACCACAAACAGAGAUAUCAGAACAGUUCAUGACAUAAAUAUACCGCUUAUGAGUUGGGGAAAAAGGAAACUUUGAUGUACCUAGGCUUAGACAACCACGUUUUGUCCAUGAUGCACCAUUAAUAUCAAAUUUGCCAAGUAUCUGA